rnacentral:rRNA from 1 species
AUUGAACGCUGGCGGCAUGCCUUACACAUGCAAGUCGAACGGCAGCGGGGACUUCGGUCCGCCGGCGAGUGGCGAACGGGUGAGUAAUGUAUCGGAACGUACCUUUCAGUGGGGGAUAACGUAGCGAAAGUUACGCUAAUACCGCAUAUUCUCUGAGGAGGAAAGCAGGGGACCUUCGGGCCUUGUGCUGAUGGAGCGGCCGAUAUCAGAUUAGCUAGUUGGUGAGGUAAAGGCUCACCAAGGCGACGAUCUGUAGCGGGUCUGAGAGGAUGAUCCGCCACACUGGGACUGAGACACGGCCCAGACUCCUACGGGAGGCAGCAGUGGGGAAUUUUGGACAAUGGGCGCAAGCCUGAUCCAGCCAUGCCGCGUGAGUGAAGAAGGCCUUCGGGUUGUAAAGCUCUUUCGGACGGGAAGAAAUUGGUGGGGCUAAUAUCCCCAUCGGAUGACGGUACCGUAAUAAGAAGCACCGGCUAACUACGUGCCAGCAGCCGCCGCGGUAA